rnacentral:lncRNA from 1 species
CCAUCGUCGAGAGCCCCCGUGUCUCCUGCCGGUGUUGGCAUUCACACUUUACUGAUCUCUAAAGAUUGUGGAGAUGAGAUCUGAUGGAAUUACUAUCACGAGUUGAGACGGUCACAACUGGUGGUUGGUUCGUAUGCUGUUGUGAAUGAAUGGUACAAAUAUGACGGAUGUAGGAGUCGUUAUCUACAAGAGCUUCCGCCAAAUGCUGUUUGCUGUUGCACACCUG